GACCAGACUCCUACGGGAGGCAGCAGUGGGGAAUAUUGCACAAUGGGGGAAACCCUGAUGCAGCGACGCCGCGUGAGCGAUGAGGUAUUUCGGUAUGUAAAGCUCUAUCAGCAGGGAAGAAGAUGACGGUACCUGACUAAGAAGCCCCGGCUAACUACGUGCCAGCAGCCGCGGUAAUACGUAGGGGGCAAGCGUUAUCCGGAUUUACUGGGUGUAAAGGGGGCGCAGACGGCGAUGCAAGCCAGGAGUGAAAGCCCGGGGCCCAACCCCGGGACUGCCCUUGGAACUGUGCGGCUAGAGUGCGGGAGGGGCAGGCGGAAUUCCUAGUGUAGCGGUGAAAUGCGUAGAUAUUAGGAGGAACACCAGUGGCGAAGGCGGCUUACUGGACUGUAACUGACGUUGAGGCUCGAAAGCGUGGGGAGCAAACAGGAUUAGAUACCCUGGUAAG
rnacentral:rRNA from 1 species